rnacentral:rRNA from 1 species
AUUGAACGCUGGCGGCAUGCCUAACACAUGCAAGUCGAACGGCAGCGAGGGGUGCUUGCACCCUGUCGGCGAGUGGCGGACGGGUGAGUAAUGCGUAGGAAUCUGCCUUAUAGUGGGGGAUAACUUGGGGAAACUCAGGCUAAUACCGCAUAAUCUCUACGGAGUAAAGUGGGGGAUCUUCGGACCUCACGCUAUAAGAUGAGCCUACGUCGGAUUAGCUUGUUGGUAGGGUAAAGGCCUACCAAGGCGACGAUCCGUAGCUGGUCUGAGAGGAUGAUCAGCCACACUGGGACUGAGACACGGCCCAG